UCCUCCAUGGCGCAAUUGGCUAGCGCGUCAGACUGUUAUGGUAACAUCUCGGAUGUUCCAACGCAAUCUGGAGGCUGUAAGUUCGACCCUUACUGGAGGAG